AUAUAGCAGCACUUGUGCUUUUAUCAUUCUGUCUUAAAUUAUUCACACUGCUGGAACCACAUGUGUAAAACUGGAAACAUAUUUUACCGAGUUAAGAGAAAAUGAUGCCAGGAGGCGUCAUCAGCAGCGGUGGCUCGGAGCACAGGCGAGGGUGUUUUAGAGACACAUUAGUAUUUUUUGAUAGAGACUACUGGUAGUUAGACUGAUUUCACCGUCGAGGCGAUCCUUACACAUUCAUCAAUAUUUAAUAACAACAGUGAAUUUAUCUCUAUAUAUCUGCCUUCUUACCUUUUGGGGGCUUAAACUUGCUCUGUAUGAUAUUAUAGGGCUUGAAUGAACCGCAGAUUUCGUAAAUCAGUAGUGUUGCUAUGAUUUUUCACUGCCACAUGUUUUAACUUAAUUAUUGGAAUCGGGAGCCCUCUCGAAUUACUUAUGCCUCUGGUGAUUUGAGAGCUAAUAUUCUGUUUCUCCAAAUACCAGUAUGAUGAUUGCAUUAAGGAUUGUGAUACGGUUGUUGAGAGGGGAAGGGAACUUCAUGCUAACUGUGCUGACUUCAAGAUGGUCUCAAGGGCACUAGCAAGGAAAGCAACUGCUCUUGUCAAUCUUGCCAAGUCUUCCAAAGACUACGAUGUUGCUGUUGAUUCCAGAACGCUAUAACUGAGCAUCAAACCUAGGUACCCUGAAAAGACUAAACGAUGCUAAACGAGCAAAGAAGGAGCUCAAGCAGCAAGAGUAUUAUGAUCCAUAAAAAGCUGAUGAGGAGCGAGAGAAAGCAAAAAUACCCAGAAGCAGUGAAGCAUUACACUAAAGCGCUCAGGAGAAACCUGAAGGAUCCAAAGUUAAUGAUGAAGGAUGCAGCUGAGAGAUACCUUUCUUAAACAUACCAAAUCUCAUACAGAGCACAGCAUGGUCCUAUAAUUCGAUAACAACAUUACUUGUUUUUCCCUGCUGCCGA